CUCCGCCCUCUACCUGAGGGAACGCACCUGGACCCGCGAGACGGAAGUGUGGCAGCGCGAGGAGGGGUCGCCCGCAGCGGUCUUUACUUUAGAGAAAAACAAGCAAAGAAACAAACAAGAAGUUUAGAAGUUGAAGCAGAAGGUCGGACUUUUCAGAACUGCCGACCGCUGAUGUUCUCCUCGUCCGAUGGGCGUCAUCGUUCUCAGAAGAACUCAACUCUGAUUCAAACUCAAAGGGUUUGAUUCGGGCUGCGUCUGGCCCUGUCUCCCUGAUGCCUGUCUGUCUGUCCCCAGGCCCUGUCUCCCUGAUGCCUGGGCUCCGCAGGGUGCUGCGGCGGUGGCUCCGCCCUGUGAAGGUGGUGCUGUUGGCGCUGGUGUUUGUGACGGUGCUGUUCCUGAUGCAGUGGGAGGUGGGGCGCCCGGCCCAGGAACCGGGCGCCCCACCUCCCCCCACCUCGGCGGGGGGGCGGGGCUCUGUGCUGGGCCGGGUCCUGGGCGCCGUCCACCAGCUGCUCCCCGACCUGCAGAUCCGGGCCCCCGAGCGCCGGCGGGGCCCAGGGGGGAGGGGCUGUCCCCCGGGCCGCUACGGCGCCGCCGAGCUGCGCCCCGCCCUGGAGCGGCCCCCCCAGGACCCGCGGGCCCCGGGGGCCUCGGGGGGGGCCUUCCUCACAGACUCCCUGACCCCCGCGCAGCAGCAGGAGAAGCAGCGCGGCGAGGAGAAGCACUGCUUCAACCUGUACGCCAGCGACCGCAUCUCCCUGAGCCGCGGCCUGGGGCCCGACACCAGACCCACAGAGUGCCUGGAGCAGACGUUCGCCCGCUGCCCGCCGCUGCCGACCACCAGCGUCAUCAUCGUGUUCCACAACGAGGCCUGGAGCACGCUGAUGAGGACGGUGUUCAGCGUGCUGCACACGGCCCCCGCCCGGCUGCUCAAGGAGGUCAUCCUGGUGGACGACGCUAGCGUGGACGAGGCGCUGCAGGGCGGCCUGGACGCGUUCCUCAAGCCGCUGGGCCAGGUCCGCGUGGUGCGCCAGCGAGAGCGGAAAGGUCUGAUCACAGCGCGCCUGCUGGGGGCCUCGGUGGCCACUGGGGACACCCUCACCUUCCUGGAUGCUCACUGCGAGUGCUUCAGCGGCUGGCUGGAGCCGCUGCUGGCCAGGAUAGCGGAGAACUACACAGCAGUGGUGAGCCCUGACAUCACCACCAUCGACCUCAACACCUUCGAGUUCAUGAAGCCAUCGCCCUACGGCCAGAACCACAACCGGGGGAACUUCGACUGGGGUUUGUCCUUCGGCUGGGAGAGCCUACCGGAGCACGAGAAGCAGAGGAGGAAAGAUGAGACCUACCCCAUCAGGACCCCUACGUUUGCUGGAGGCCUCUUUUCAAUCUCUAAAGAAUAUUUCUACCACAUCGGCAGCUACGACGAGGAGAUGGAGAUCUGGGGCGGCGAGAACAUCGAGAUGUCCUUUAGGGUGUGGCAGUGUGGUGGGCAGCUGGAGAUCCUGCCCUGCUCGGUCGUUGGUCACGUGUUCCGCAACAAGAGCCCCCACUCCUUCCCAAAGGGCACCCAGGUGAUCGCCCGCAACCAGGUGAGGCUGGCCGAGGUCUGGAUGGACGAGUACAAGGAGAUCUUCUACCGCCGCAACCAGCAGGCGGGACAGCUGGCCAUACAGGGGGCCUUCGGAGAUGUCUCGCGGCGGGUGCAGCUCCGUCAGCGGCUCCAGUGUAAGACCUUCACGUGGUUCUUGAACACCGUCUACCCGGAGGUCUUCAUGCCAGACCUUUAUCCUCCACAGUUCGGCUCGGUCAGGAGCGAGGGGAAGGAGGCGUGCCUGGACGCAGGCGAGAACAACGAGGGCGGGAAGCAGCUCAUCAUGUACCCCUGCCACGGGCUGGGAGGAAAUCAGUAUUUUGAGUACUCCUCACACCAAGAGAUUCGCCACAACAUUCAGAAGGAGCUGUGUUUGCACGGAAAAGAUGGACUGGUGAAACUGGAGGAUUGCCAAUACAAAGGCAAGCACACGUUGGUGGGCGCAGAGCAGGAGUGGGAGCUGAAAGAUAACCACCUGUUCUACCUCCGAGGGGCCGACAUGUGCCUCAGUGCUGGGAGCGGCCAGCCGGCGCUGGCGGGCUGCGACGCCUCGGACCGCUCACAGCUCUGGACCUUCAUAUGAGCUCUGGACCUUCAGCUCUGGACCUUCAUAUGAGAGCUCUGGGCCUUCAUAUGAGGUCUGGACCUUCAGCUCUGGACCUUCAUAUGAGUUCUGGACCUUCAUAUGAGGUCUGGACCUUCAGCUCUGGACCUUCAUAUGAGCUCUGGACCUUCAGCUCUGGACCUUCAUAUGAGCUCUGGACCUUCAGCUCUGGACCUUCAUAUGAGCUCUGGACCUUCAGCUCUGGACCAUCAGCUCUGGACCUUCAGCUCUGGACCUUCAUGGGAGCUCUGGAGAAGGGGAUGCCACCGCUGAAAGGAACCGGAAAUUGGCCUUAUUCAGCUGGUGGCCAUCCUGACUCUUAACACUGCAGGGUGAUGGAAUGAAUACGGAGGUUCAGAUCAGAGGCGGAACCAACAUGGCCGCUAGGUAAGGCCUAAGAGACCAGCGGGAUAACUGGUAACUGACAGAUCAGGUUUAAUUAUAUAUAUAUAUAAAAAUAUGGACUUUUAAUGGGAAAAAAAAAGCGCUUUUACUCAAAUACUUAAAAAAAAACAUUUUAUUUAUCUGCUUUUAAUGCGUCAAUUGCAUUUUUCUGUUUUUACAAGAUAUGUGAUUAGUAUUUUAAAUUCACAGAAUUGUGUUAUGACAAGUGCCUUGUUGAGGUUGAAUAUAUAUAUCUAUAUUUUUUUUUUACUUAUUUACACAACCUACAAAAAAAUAAAUUGAAUUGAAUGGGUAUAUUUUUGAUGUAGCACAGAUUUGCCCAGAUUACUGAGUUGUAUCAAAUGGCUGAAAUCCCUUCAGCAGCGUAAACAGGAUCAAAAAGCUUUAAACAAAGCGGAAUGAAUUACGGCCCAAGAUCCACCUAUUCACCACCGAGCCUGUCUGACCUCCGUGUUUGGGGCUGAGGACUGCAUUUAUUAUCAGUAUUUAACUUUGAAUGUUCAUAAUCACUUUUUUCCUCUUGAAUAUUCUUUACCGUGAUACAUGAAUAUUCAUAAUCAAGAUUUACAUUUUAAUCAUAAUCAUGAUCUUAAUAUGCACAAUCAUUAACAUUUCUUUACAAACUACAAUAUUAUAAUUUUUUAUUUUGAUGUUUCAAUGGUAGUUAAAAGUUGCUGUUGCAGAUACGAUUGUAAAACAUUCAAUCAGCUUUUCAAAAGUCUAUAUUUAUAGUUUGUGUUUGAAAAUCCAAUUUUCUAUUUUCUUGCACAACAAGGGAUUGUAAUAAACAGUUUAGUUUGCUAAGAUGUUUGCAUUUAUGGUCAUUACAAACCCUUUCUAAAGGUUAGAAUUUGUUUGACCUAGUUGCUUAUUUAUAUUAUAUGUUCUGAGAAACUUGAUUUAUACCUCCCAGGUGGGAGAUAUUUAGAUUAUAAAUGUAAUUAAUGAGCUGUUGUAUAUUAUUUGUUUCUUGUUGUAUUGUGUGCCACUAAAGAUGUGGAGGCCACUAUGCCCUCAUCUCCUGCUGUUCUGUACACGCAGUGGUCAUCGCCCAGGAGGGGAGGAGGCACUACUGUCCUCACAUUCCUGUGUGAUGGGAGGUCAUCUCCUGCUGUUCUGUACACGCAGUGGUCAUCGACCAGGAAGGGGAGGAGCCACUACUGUCCUCACAUUCCUGUGUGAUGGGAGGUCAUCUCCUGCUGUUCUGUACACGCAGUGGUCAUCGACCAGGAAGGGGAGGAGCCACUACUGUCCUCACAUUCCUGUGUGAUGGGAGGUCAUCUCCUGCUGGCUCCUCCCCUUCCUGGUCGCUGACCAGGAAGGGGAGGAGCCACUACUGUCCUCACAUUCCUGUGUGAUGGGAGGAGCCACUACUGUCCUCAUAUUCCUGUGUAAUGUGAGGUCAUCUCUUGCUGGCUCCAGCCGCUCAUUAACUCAGAUCUUUAUAUCGAUUCUGUUCAUUUGUAAACCAUGGUAAAAAGGAAACGACAUGAAAAGGAUUUUGGUUUUAAUCUACCAUAAGAAACAAAUCGAUUUCUAACAUGUAUUUAACAUUUUGUGCAAAAUGUAUCCGGUUUCACAGAAUAUGAAUCAAAAUAAAUUAGGCCUGUGACAAUUCUACAAAUCACAACCAGCAUAAAACAAA